rnacentral:rRNA from 1 species
CAGCCACGGUAAUACCAGCACCCCCGAGUGGUCGGGGACGAUUAUUGGGGUCUAAAGCAUCCGUAGCCGGUAUAUCAAGUCCUCCGUUAAAUCCACUUGCUCAACAAGUGGGGCUGCGGAGGAUACUGCUAUACUAGGAGGCGGGAGAGGUGAGGGGUAUUCCAUGGCUAGGGGUAAAAUCCACUGAACCAUGGAGGACCACCAGUGGCGAAGGC